AGCGUACACGGUGGAUGCCCUGGCAGUCAGAGGCGAUGAAGGACGUGCUAAUCUGCGAUAAGCGUCGGUAAGGUGAUAUGAACCGUUAUAACCGGCGAUUUCCGAAUGGGGAAACCCAGUGUGAUUCGUCACACUAUCAUUAACUGAAUUCAUAGGUUAAUGAGGCGAACCGGGGGAACUGAAACAUCUAAGUACCCCGAGGAAAAGAAAUCAACCGAGAUUCCCCCAGUAGCGGCGAGCGAACGGGGAGGAGCCCAGAGCCUGAAUCAGUGUGUGUGUUAGUGGAAGCGUCUGGAAAGGCGCGCGAUACAGGGUGACAGCCCCGUACACAAAAAUGCACAUGCUGUGAGCUCGAUGAGUAGGGCGGGACACGUGGUAUCCUGUCUGAAUAUGGGGGGACCAUCCUCCAAGGCUAAAUACUCCUGACUGACCGAUAGUGAACCAGUACCGUGAGGGAAAGGCGAAAAGAACCCCGGCGAGGGGAGUGAAAAAGAACCUGAAACCGUGUACGUACAAGCAGUGGGAGCCUCUUUAUGGGGUGACUGCGUACCUUUUGUAUAAUGGGUCAGCGACUUAUAUUCUGUAGCAAGGUUAACCGAAUAGGGGAGCCGAAGGGAAACCGAGUCUUAACUGGGCGUUAAGUUGCAGGGUAUAGACCCGAAACCCGGUGAUCUAGCCAUGGGCAGGUUGAAGGUUGGGUAACACUAACUGGAGGACCGAACCGACUAAUGUUGAAAAAUUAGCGGAUGACUUGUGGCUGGGGGUGAAAGGCCAAUCAAACCGGGAGAUAGCUGGUUCUCCCCGAAAGCUAUUUAGGUAGCGCCUCGUGAAUUCAUCUCCGGGGGUAGAGCACUGUUUCGGCAAGGGGGUCAUCCCGACUUACCAACCCGAUGCAAACUGCGAAUACCGGAGAAUGUUAUCACGGGAGACACACGGCGGGUGCUAACGUCCGUCGUGAAGAGGGAAACAACCCAGACCGCCAGCUAAGGUCCCAAAGUCAUGGUUAAGUGGGAAACGAUGUGGGAAGGCCCAGACAGCCAGGAUGUUGGCUUAGAAGCAGCCAUCAUUUAAAGAAAGCGUAAUAGCUCACUGGUCGAGUCGGCCUGCGCGGAAGAUGUAACGGGGCUAAACCAUGCACCGAAGCUGCGGCAGCGACGCUUAUGCGUUGUUGGGUAGGGGAGCGUUCUGUAAGCCUGCGAAGGUGUACUGUGAGGUAUGCUGGAGGUAUCAGAAGUGCGAAUGCUGACAUAAGUAACGAUAAAGCGGGUGAAAAGCCCGCUCGCCGGAAGACCAAGGGUUCCUGUCCAACGUUAAUCGGGGCAGGGUGAGUCGACCCCUAAGGCGAGGCCGAAAGGCGUAGUCGAUGGGAAACAGGUUAAUAUUCCUGUACUUGGUGUUACUGCGAAGGGGGGACGGAGAAGGCUAUGUUGGCCGGGCGACGGUUGUCCCGGUUUAAGCGUGUAGGCUGGUUUUCCAGGCAAAUCCGGAAAAUCAAGGCUGAGGCGUGAUGACGAGGCACUACGGUGCUGAAGCAACAAAUGCCCUGCUUCCAGGAAAAGCCUCUAAGCAUCAGGUAACAUCAAAUCGUACCCCAAACCGACACAGGUGGUCAGGUAGAGAAUACCAAGGCGCUUGAGAGAACUCGGGUGAAGGAACUAGGCAAAAUGGUGCCGUAACUUCGGGAGAAGGCACGCUGAUACGUAGGUGAAGUCCCUUGCGGAUGGAGCUGAAAUCAGUCGAAGAUACCAGCUGGCUGCAACUGUUUAUUAAAAACACAGCACUGUGCAAACACGAAAGUGGACGUAUACGGUGUGACGCCUGCCCGGUGCCGGAAGGUUAAUUGAUGGGGUUAGCGGUAACGCGAAGCUCUUGAUCGAAGCCCCGGUAAACGGCGGCCGUAACUAUAACGGUCCUAAGGUAGCGAAAUUCCUUGUCGGGUAAGUUCCGACCUGCACGAAUGGCGUAAUGAUGGCCAGGCUGUCUCCACCCGAGACUCAGUGAAAUUGAACUCGCUGUGAAGAUGCAGUGUACCCGCGGCAAGACGGAAAGACCCCGUGAACCUUUACUAUAGCUUGACACUGAACAUUGAGCCUUGAUGUGUAGGAUAGGUGGGAGGCUUUGAAGUGUGGACGCCAGUCUGCAUGGAGCCGACCUUGAAAUACCACCCUUUAAUGUUUGAUGUUCUAACGUUGGCCCCUAAUCGGGGUUGCGGACAGUGUCUGGUGGGUAGUUUGACUGGGGCGGUCUCCUCCUAAAGAGUAACGGAGGAGCACGAAGGUUGGCUAAUCCUGGUCGGACAUCAGGAGGUUAGUGCAAUGGCAUAAGCCAGCUUGACUGCGAGCGUGACGGCGCGAGCAGGUGCGAAAGCAGGUCAUAGUGAUCCGGUGGUUCUGAAUGGAAGGGCCAUCGCUCAACGGAUAAAAGGUACUCCGGGGAUAACAGGCUGAUACCGCCCAAGAGUUCAUAUCGACGGCGGUGUUUGGCACCUCGAUGUCGGCUCAUCACAUCCUGGGGCUGAAGUAGGUCCCAAGGGUAUGGCUGUUCGCCAUUUAAAGUGGUACGCGAGCUGGGUUUAGAACGUCGUGAGACAGUUCGGUCCCUAUCUGCCGUGGGCGCUGGAGAACUGAGGGGGGCUGCUCCUAGUACGAGAGGACCGGAGUGGACGCAUCACUGGUGUUCGGGUUGUCAUGCCAAUGGCACUGCCCGGUAGCUAAAUGCGGAAGAGAUAAGUGCUGAAAGCAUCUAAGCACGAAACUUGCCCCGAGAUGAGUUCUCCCUGACUCCUUGA
rnacentral:rRNA from 1 species